CCCCCUGAGCGAUUCCAUAACGGUGUCUUCAGAGGAGGAAACGACGUAGAAUCUCACCAGAUAACUCUGGAUGGCGACACAGACGUAGUCUCCGGUCGGCGGGCGGCAGUCGGGGAUGCAUCCACGUGAAGAGCGGAUCAGGGUGCCCCUCCGAGGGGCUUGGUCAGGCCUAGGCCCUGGCUCCCCCUGGAGAGAGGCCACACCUGCCUCUCCUCACAGCUUAAAUGAGAUGCCAACACUUUUUUCUUUUUUGGGAAACUAAAUACAUUUUAAUAGAAAACAAAAUACAAAAUAACUCUUUUUCAGG